rnacentral:rRNA from 1 species
UGCCAGCCGCCGCGGUAAUACGAAGGGACCUAGCGUAGUUCGGAAUUACUGGGCUUAAAGAGUUCGUAGGUGGUCUGUUAAGUCGGAUGUGAAAGCCCCGGGCUCAACCUGGGAACUGCAUUCGAUACUGGCAGACUAGAGUGCGAGAGAGGGAGGUAGAAUUCCAUGUGUAGCGGUGAAAUGCGUAGAUAUGUGGAGGAAUACCAGUGGCGAAGGCGGCCUCCUGGCUCGACACUGACACUGAGGUGCGAAAGCGUGGGGAGCAAACAGGAUUAGAUA